GUCCACACUGUAAACGGUGCAUAUUCGAUGCGGGAGGAACUUAGGUCCCUUCCGUGUCUUAGCUAACGCGUUAAAUAUGCCGCCUGGGGACUACGGUCGCAAGACUAAAACUCAAAGGAAUUGACGGGGCCCGCACAAGCGGUGGAGCAUGUGGCUUAAUUCGAGGCAACGCGAAGAACCUUACCUGGGUUUGACAUUAAUUGGACCGGGCAUGAAAGUGCUCUUUCCGCAAGGACCGAUUAACAGGUGCUGCAUGGCUGUCGU
rnacentral:rRNA from 1 species